GGGCAUGAAAGGUAGCAGCGUUAAAAAUUGUUUCAUGUAACCUUGGGUAGCAUGUGAAAAAGGUGAAGCAUGCAGAAAAUCAGAGCGGUGUCACAGUGGGGAAGAGAAAAAGGUUUAGAAAAAUAGGCUUCUUUAUUGGAUGAUCGAACAACUAAUUCUACUUUGAUUUUGAUAAAUUUUAGUAUGUUAUUUCUGACAUUGAGAGCUAUAAAUUGAUCAGUCUU
rnacentral:lncRNA from 1 species